AUGCCAGCUCAGCCAGGGCAUGUCAGGGUGUCACAGCAGCUUCCUCCCUGCUGCCUGGUUAGUGCCCACCCACCGUUCCCAUUGCCACACCCCCUGCCUUACCUCCAGGUCCUGGGCCAGCUCAAAGAGCAGCGCAAUGGUUUCCCCAGCCAGGAUGCGCAGGGCAACGCUGCUGCUGGUCAGCAGUGGGGGCAGCUGCAGCCAGUGACUGGGACAGGGAAGCAAGGGGGCAGUCUGAGAGGCCAAGUACUGCCCCAAGGGCUCAGUGCUCCACAGCUGGCUGCCCCACACCAGCCUCCGCUCACUUCACAUCCCACUCACUUGUCCAAAAUGCUCCUGAGGUGGGAGGGGGGGCAGAUGGUGAGGAGCAGGGACCAUGACUGGAGUGCGCUGCAGUGCAGAGGCCCAUGCUGGGCAGCUGCUGAGCCCCCUUCGCCUGUACUAGGGGGGCUGAAGAUGCCCUCCAAGCAGGACAGGCAUGAAAGCAGGUCCUGGAGGAGAGAAACUUCGCCAGUCAGACCACAGCUGCCAUGGAGAUGCCACACUGAGCUGUGCACUGGGGACCAAAGGGGACCCACCAUACUAAGGGGUGCCAGGAGCCCCUUGGGACAGGAGAGGCUACUCCACCCACAACACCCAAUCUGCUGGCUCCCCCCAGCUCAGCUCCAGGCUGCCCUGGGAAGGGGCCUGGGCUGUCACUCAUGUCCCCGUACCCCUACUCCAGCUCAGCUCCAGGCUGCUCUGGCACUGUGGGCUGAGGGCAGGUGGCAUGGCAGCCCCCGGGUGCCCUCUUGCAGGAUGACACCCAGGCGCAGUUACCUCGAGGUCAGCAGCAGCAAUGUAGCAGCACAUGCCCAGGGCCGUGGCACACUGGCAAGAGAAGUGAGGGAAAAGCAGUCAGAUCAGGCCCAGCUGGAUCAUGCCAGGCCUGAUUCAGCACCCAGCAAAGGGGCAGCCGGGUCGGGGUGCCCCUGCUUUGCCCCACUGCACCCCAUGGUGCCCAAUCCUGUCACCCUCCCGGGACCGCAGGGCUCCCAAAGGCAUUGCCUGGGCUCUCCCCGCCACGGAGGUGUCCCCGGGAGGGAAGGGGCCGGGCCUUACGCUCUGCCGGGCGCCGGGGCUGGCUGUGCUGUCUGUCAGGACGCUGAUGAGCAGGGGCUUCAGGCUGCGGAACACCUCUUCUCCCUCCGGGCCAGAGCCCAUCUGGAGGCAGAGGAGGGUGAGGACGGUGCCCGCCAGCGCCUGUUCUUCCCCUUUACCUGUGGGCAGCACAGAGACCUCCCUCAGGCACGGGUCAGCGGCCCCGCCGCCGCCGCCCGCAGCCACGCUGACCUUUCUUGA
rnacentral:lncRNA from 1 species